UAACGUCAGUGGCAGACGGGUGAGUAACGCGUGGGAACGUACCUUUUGGUUCGGAACAACUGAGGGAAACUUCAGCUAAUACCGGAUAAGCCCUUACGGGGAAAGAUUUAUCGCCAAAAGAUCGGCCCGCGUCUGAUUAGCUAGUUGGUGAGGUAAUGGCUCACCAAGGCGACGAUCAGUAGCUGGUCUGAGAGGAUGAUCAGCCACAUUGGGACUGAGACACGGCCCAA
rnacentral:rRNA from 1 species